rnacentral:rRNA from 1 species
ACGAACGCUGGCGGCAGGCCUAACACAUGCAAGUCGAGCGCACCUUCGGGUGAGCGGCGGACGGGUUAGUAACGCGUGGGAACGUACCCUUUUCUACGGAAUAGCCUUUGGAAACGAAGAGUAAUACCGUAUACGCCCUUUGGGGGAAAGAUUUAUCGGAGAAGGAUCGGCCCGCGUUAGAUUAGAUAGUUGGUGGGGUAACGGCCUACCAAGUCUACGAUCUAUAGCUGGUUUUAGAGGAUGAUCAGCAACACUGGGACUGAGACACGGCCCAGACUCCUACGGGAGGCAGCAGUGGGGAAUCUUAGACAAUGGGCGCAAGCCUGAUCUAGCCAUGCCGCGUGAGUGAUGAAGGCCUUAGGGUCGUAAAGCUCUUUCGCCUGUGAUGAUAAUGACAGUAGCAGGUAAAGAAACCCCGGCUAACUCCGUGCCAGCAGCCGCGGUAAUACGGAGGGGGUUAGCGUUGUUCGGAAUUACUGGGCGUAAAGCGCACGUAGGCGGAUUGGAAAGUUGGGGGUGAAAUCCCGGGGCUCAACCCCGGAACUGCCUCCAAAACUAUCAGUCUAGAGUUCGAGAGAGGUGAGUGGAAUUCCAAGUGUAGAGGUGAAAUUCGUAGAUAUUUGGAGGAACACCAGUGGCGAAGGCAGGCUCUACUGGCUCGAUACUGA